GGUGCCUAAUGCAGGGAGAAUGUUCUAUAUUAAAUUAUACUUACACUCAGAUGCGUUCACCGCCUAGCCCAGCAGUGCCCUGUUCCAGACGAUCUCGGGAUUUGUACAGUAAACAUGUUUUCAUGACUCUCAAUAACGAGAUGGGGUCGAGAUGGGACUCGAACCGGCACCCCAGCCCAUGUGCAAACCAGAGACAUGUUUGAAAAAUCCACAUUGUUUAGAAUGUUUAGAAACAGUACAGUGUGAACAUCCACCUCCCAAACACUGUCCCUGACGUGAGGAAGGCCCGGCCUGCGGUCGAGAGAGGCCUUGGUUUGGAUGGCCGACCCUCAGACCAAAGCCUCCCAUUAUCUUCUUCAGAUAUUGAAUAUUCACCAACAUGCUGCAUUUUCAAUAAUUUCGCGGAAGUUUCAGUAUCACGUUUUUCUCUGGAAGUUUAUGUUUGCUUCCUUGGAAAAAAAAUUCUACAAAUUCUUCACAUUUAGGUUAAACAAAGGUUCCUGUGAACCCGAUAAGAGGAAUUUGGGUUAGCUUUAGAGUACUGAUGGUUUGGGCCAGUACUGACAUCACACAGAGGGGGCGCUGUGGAGGUACUCAUUAGCACUAAAUAGCAUCAGCUGAGGCUGCAGGUGGCUCCCAGGUUGUGAGACUGCAUUGAGAGUCUCUGGAGGUGAGACUCGUAGGAUUAACACGCAAGGAUUUGUUCAAGACACUGCUAUGAGAGGAAGCUUGGUUGUAAAUACACGAUGGAGAUGAACGCCUGGAAUCAAGGCGAGGGCUGAUCACCUGGACUGACGGUUCACCCACCGAGACGAGGAGCCGGCGCGGAGUGUCACUAAGGGAGGGCUGUUCGCCUACGAGGGCUGUGGACCUGUGCCCCCAGGUCACCCCCCCCUGUACAUGAGGCCAAUCACGUGGAUAUCCGCCCUCCGACGGACCGCGUCUCACGCCCGGUGGUAUUUUUACCACGCUACAACCUGCUGCCGCGUGUGAACCAGGAAUGUUGUUUUCUUCUCCGUCUCGGAGCGUCACUGGGCUUCCUCCUCUCGCUCUCGUCUGAUUGCUGUCUCUCGCCCUGACGUUCAUCCCACCGUGCGGAGAUGGUCUUCGCUGCGCUGGACGGAGAUUACAGCCAGCUGUUCCUGUCUGCUGCUUAGCGUUUCAGCCAUCACACGUUCUCAUGUGCACACACGCACCCACAUACGCAUUAAAACAUAUUUCCAAA